GGACGCAUAGCUCAGUUGGUAGAGCAGCUGACUCUUAAUCAGCGGGUCCCAGGUUCGAACCCUGGUGCGUCCACCA
rnacentral:tRNA from 3 species